AAGAGUUAUUAUAACUCCUAAACCCAUGUGAACCUACCUUUGUUGCCUCGGCAGGUCUGCAGCUUACCCUGUGAGACCCUACCCUGUAGGGACCUUACCUGGUAGUUGCGGGUAAAUGCCUGCCGGUGGUCUAUUAAACUCUGUUUACUAUGUUAUUCUGAAUAAUAUAACUAAAUAAGUUA
rnacentral:misc_RNA from 1 species